ACAGCCGAAACCCUGAAAAGAGGUUUGCAAAGAUACAAUUCAAGAGGAAAAAUUCAAGCUGACCUCUUGCCACACUUAAGGCUGGGAUCCGUGCUAAACGAAACAGAGGUACCAGCUCCCUGCUACCUUCCACACCAAAUGCCAGUAUUAACUGGACACUUAUUUAGGAAAUUUCAAAUAAAAAAAUGGUUUCUGAACCACACUGAAAAAAAAAAAAAACACCCAGAAAAAAAUUUCUGUCUUGGUGGAAAAUUUUUGUGUUUUUUUUUCCAACAGAAGCUGAGGGAAUCAUUAUUCUCCCUGUCACUCUCCUUCCUGCUUGAAAAAGUGGGCGGGGAAGGAGAGAAAAAGCUGGAGAAGAAAAAACCAAAUUCAUUCUUUAAAAGUAGGAGGGGAGUUUUGUUACGGAAAAACUUGCAACAUACCUUUGACACAGGCAAGUCCACCCAUCCGGUGGGAGGGCUGCGUGCCUGCCCGGCGUGGGUUAGGAGACAAACCAGUUGCCUUUCUGUGAUGGAGGGACACAGUGGUAGUGCCCUGCCCCAGCUCCAGGGUCCUCCAGCAGCCGCAGCACAAGGCAGAGAGGAGAAGAGAGAUGGAGGAGAUGGCCGACAGCGGGAAUAGGCUAAGUCAAUGCUAAGCGUGAGAGACCAGAAGGAAUCCAUGCUGUGAACUGUCUGGGAAAAUCUCUCGCUUCAUGUAAAUGCAGACAUCGGCAUUUAACUCAAAGGUGUUUUUUUCCAGAUUAAACCCAAUGCCUUAAAGUCCACGUGAAGCAACUGGCAGAAUAGAGGUGAGGUCCAGACGUUGGAGGAUGCUUUGGUAAGCAGUGACAGUGGAUCAGCUACGGUCUUGUGUAGCUUUUCAUGAAUUUUCGAGAAAUGGUCAUGGCAGCACCUGCAUGCACAGCGAGCACAGAUGGGAGAGGUUUUCAGAUACUUUCGUGAGUUACCUGCGGUCACUGGAUGGCUGGCAACAGACAGGGCAAAACUUCACUUAAAGUCUCCAUCUUAAACGCAUGGGAGCUCCUCUGUGCAGAGCCUUCCUAGCUCCAUGGGUCAAAAGCUUCAGGAGGAUCUGCUCUGUACAGAGCCCCGCGGUCGGAGCCCCAGCCUCGUCCCAAGCACACGUCACGUGUGCGUAUUUGUCUCCAGUAACAUUUCAGCCUUUCUGGCUCAAAUAGCUGCUGGCCCCUUUGGUUGUCUGCUCCCUCUGGUUAUCAGUACCUCAGUGGAUUUCCAAAUUCCAAUAUGCUCGAUUCCAUACCUGAGAUCGUUUGGGACAAUUUAUUACCUACACUUCUGGAACCUGGUAAAUUAGGUUCUCUGUUUAGAACUGCAGAGCUCCAUCAGCAGCUGACGAUGGGCACCUUUCGAAGCAGUGGUCAUGAGCUGGGAAUCCAGCACGGAUGAGCUGCUGGGCUGUUGUCUCCUCUAGUGCUUUUCCUUUUGGACCUGCGCUCUUUGGAGUUAUUUGAGCAUAAUCAUGGCAACCUCUGUGUACAUAAACUAAUACAUGCAAAGCCCUUUUUCACAAGCCACGUCUGAGAUGAUUGCAAACUCUCCGGUGCAGCAUCUCUCCUCCCUACAUGUUUGUAUUUAACACAACAAGGCCAGUCUCACGGGGAGUUUCCAGACAGUACAGUGUGGCAGCCAUAAAAUACAGUAGUUCAGAUAUAAGAAAGGCUGGGAGGCUGUUGGUUCAGAGUUCCUGGAAAGCCUGGGAUGGUGUACAAAUGAGAAGGGGUCUCUUGAGUCGCUUUGUCGAAUGCUUUGGACCUGGGUUGUUUAAAAAGGACUAGUGGCUUCUUGUGGUGAUCCAGGGAUUCUUGUCCUGAGUCUGACAAUCCACCUGCAUGGACUGUGCAGGUGUGUCCUGGAAGCAUUGAGGCUUUUCACAGUUUUCAGCUUGACUGCUCCCAUGCACUUGGCAAUUUUGGAGAUCUUCAAGCGACUUGGCACUUGAGAGGGCUGGUUGCGAUGCUAAGCCUCCCACUCCCGCUGGAAAUGCAGAGAAGCAGAUGAUGCCACCUGAAGCUCUCCUUCCUGACACCUAUGGAAAGUCCCGUCUUCUGACUCAGGCUGUUGAAUCGCAGGCUUGGCAAGCUGGGCGUAGCGACCGGCUGUGGCUGGGCAGUGUAUUUUAGUACCAGUACCUGUUUUUUUCCUGUGGAUUUUGAAAUGUUGAAAAGUCUACUACAUUUCGUAAGCCUUUAAGGCACUGACACAAGAAAAGGAGGAAAAAAAAGAAAGCAAGAGCGGUCUAGGUCUGUGUUGCUUAUGGCAUUUUGUGAAGCCUUUUGCACCUGCACAAAAUGUCUGUAAAGAGACACUAAACAACCACGUUGCAUUUUGUUUACUUGCUUUGCAUGGGUGUAAAUGAUUAAUUAAAAUGCCAAGCAGUGGAAGAUUCAGCAUAAUGAUUGUACUGUUUUAGCUUGCUCUGCAUGGCUUGUUCUAUUAAUAUAUGUUUGUGGUCAGGAAGGAACGCAGUCUCACUUCGCUAAAAUCUGAAACUCGGUAAAGCAUAAUAUGUGCAGUAUUAAUUUUGGUUUGACACCUGCCAGGCAAAGAUCCUCACCAGCCAAAGGCAUUCUUCUCAACCGAGCUCCAUCUGUUGUGCAGAUCUUCGGUUCUGAUAUUUCUAACUACUCGAGCCAAAGGAAAAAGAAGAGCCAACUUGAAGGAAAAAAAAAAAUCUCUAGGAGGAAUGAACAGUUUUAUCAAGGCUAAAUGUAAUGGCUUGUUGUCAUACUUGGUUUAAGUCCUGUAAGGGAAACAUGUGCGAUUAGUUGCGUUGUAUAAGAAAACAGUCCUUUAUACUGGCAGUAUGAUUUUUGUUGUUGCGUGAAAGGAACAUCGAUAGCUAAAGUCCAAGCACAUGAUUUUAUUGUUGAAAUGCUGCAGCCUUUAGAAAGAUUUCUCGGUAGAAAAGUUGCUAGUGAAAAAUUUACUCACUUAUUGUACUCAGCAGAUAAAAAGCCCAAGGAGUCAGCCGUGAUUCUUGCACGCAGAGGAGCAGUAGGAUUAACACUUGCCUCAGCUCUUUGAAAGACAGCUUAGGCUAUUUGAAAUAAGCAUUCAAGUAGCAUCUGUCGAAAGAAGCUAACUUCCAGUCCCCUGACAAAAGUUGCAUAGAUGAGUUUGUCACCUAGCUGAGAAAAUAAUCAUUAAUUGCUCCAGUUGUCUUUGUUCUGCACUUGAAGUGGGUGAAUUACCCUGUCAGAGCUGCCCUGCCCACCCGGGUAAACAUUUGCCUCCUAUGAAACCGUGAGAAAUCUACUGCAAAUAUGAAUGUGCUUUACGAUUAUCAUCCGCUGAUUGUUAAUUAUUAUUUGUGAUAGCGUGGAGAAGAAACUUUACUUGAGGGAAAUGUUGGCUUUGUGUGCUUCAGACCAAUAAUUAAUGGUUGAAAGUGUCAUGAGUAUUAUCAAACUCCAUUGAAUUCACUAAGAACUGCAGAGCAUUCAAAAGUGUAUAGAAAUCCACGGGCAUACUUCAGAAUUUGAUUUUUUCACCAUUAUUUCUAGAGUUGACUCUUGCUGCAACUGCCAGCAUGUAAACUGCAGACUCUCACCUCUCCUCUCUCAGGCAAUCAAGGUAGCACCUGGCUUCCAAAAAGCGGUCAUACGUCUUCUUUCCAUUUAACUUUUCAAGUUGUAUUUGUUCAUUUGGGAAAAAAAAAAAAAAUCUUUGGCCGAGCUCUGAACGCUCAGUAUCUCUAUUUCAGCAGUUCUUCCAAAUAAUUCCUAAAAGCUCAGGUAUUCCUCAGAACCUCCCAACUGAGUAAAAAUUUUUUUUCUUCAUUAGUCUAAUGCUGCAUGCUGAACCUGUUCAUGCUUUCAUAGCAAAGGUAUCACCGCAAGGAUGCCAGUCUUAGCUGUGGCUUCAGUGCUGAUGCAUAUAGCUUAUUUACUUAUAGCAAUAUAGAAACCUAUAGGAAAUAUUAAGCUAAUUUCACUUCCAUUUCAGGGCCUACAUCAGCAUCAAGUGCUGCUAAAAGUAAAAAAGUAUAAAAAUACAGUAUCAUUAAGUCUAAUCCUGUCUGUAACGUAGGGUAUUCCUGCUUGAAAAGAGAACAGUUAUUAUAGUGUGUUGUGUUUGUGUUUUCUUUGCAUAGGUAUUCUUUUCUUUGCAUGCAUCUGCAGUCGCCACUUUAUUUAUGAAAUUAAUUAUUUGAAUUCAUGGUAUGCAACAGCAGAGAAAUACUAGGCGGGAUUGUAUUGAAUUUUUUGCAUGGGAAACAGAUUAAAAUCCACGCUAUUAACUGCUGAAACUUCCUCCCUGCUCUUCCCAAUAAAAUACAAAUGAAAAAGUGAAAAUCCAAUUUCUUUCAACUCCUUAAAUCCAGGGAUUGCUCCCUACAGCUUGAAAAGGAUGAAAACUUAAGACAGCAUGAAUUUAUUUAGGGACUUCUCUGUCAAUCUGUUUAACGUGGAUUAAUACUGAAGGCCAUCAGUAUAGCAGAGAUCUGUGGUACAAAACCUGUAAAACAGAUUAAAAAAAAAGUUCAGGAAAACUGCGUAGCUACUGGAACUGAAUAGUGGGAAUACAGUUGAAAACUUUUGUCACGAGAUCUGAAUGUUGAUGUUUCAGGUUUUAGCAGUCUGCUGCCACAUCCGCAGCUACUAGGCAGUCAUUAGCAAGUGAUAAAGAAUAUACGAAUUAGCUGCUGGUAUUGAGCCAAAAUAGAAACAUCUGCGUUCUUGAAUUGCCUGUAGAUUUAAAAAAUUUUGUGCUGUCUUUUUUUGCCUGCCCUAAUACCCAAAAUGUAUUUAAUGUCACAAAGCGUGAUGCUUUAGAGCUCGCACAGGAGAAGAGAUUGCCAACAAAUGAAGAUACAUGUACUUUUUAAUUACACCGGUGAUGCUGAGUCCCAGCAAGCCUUUGGCAGGAAGGAGUUGAAUGUGGUACCAUGGGUGGAUUUUGCGUCACUUGAGGCAGACUGUUUAAAGUUGCCAUAGAUUUGAUUAUCAUGGGAUCAUGGCCACAAUUUAUUCUGCAAGUUGGCUGUCAUAGGAUUAGAUUCCAAUUUAUUUAAAAUAAGACAGAGAACUUCCUGUCUUUUAAUGCAAGUCUUAAAAAAACAGCACGAUGCGGAGGAAUGCAGCCAGUCUUAAAAAUU